GCGGAGAAAAUAAUUAUGUAAUUGAGAGAGCAAAAUGAAAAAAAAAUACUCGCGAAGGGUUUAAACCAUAAUGUUUGAUAAAAAUUGAUGAAGAAAUCGAAAUGCAUGAGAAACCUUAUUUUUCAUUAAACUUAUGAUUCCCAGAAUGGCAUGCAAAGAACUGGUAAGGGGAUGACAAUCAACUAGAAACACAAUACAAGUGCAGCCCACUAAUAUACUAGAUAUCCCGCACAAUUUGGA
rnacentral:lncRNA from 1 species